UUGUAGCGGCACUGACGCCGGCCGUUGUGCAGCGGCAUUGCGUCUACUUGCUGGAGUACAUGGAGUUCCUCAAGCGCUCGUCCAAAAAAGAGGUAGAUCAGGAAUUGGAAAACCAGUACCUCGUCAUUGACUUGGACAAGUUCGGCCUCCGUCAAGUUUACAGCUGGCAGGCCAUAAAGGCGAUCACUGACAUGCUGAAAAUGAUGGAGGACCACUUUCCAGAGUGCCUGGAGAAGUGCAUCUGCA